CGAACGAUCUAAUAACCGAAACCAAACACGCCAGCUCAAUCAGGCCUCAAAUUGUCUGUAACCCUAGUUGACGCACAACCACUUCACCCCAAGACUAACCCUAGUUAGCUCCCACCCACUCUAUAAAGCCCACCUCUUUCUACCCUUCCUUCUCAUUCCGCAGCGGUGCUGUCUCUAAGAUUUUUCUUGUAAUUUUUUCUUAGUCCCCAUUUUAAGUUUUCUCCUAAUGGCUUCAGGCGAUGUCGAGUUUAGGUGCUUCGUAGGCGGCCUGGCCUGGGCCACCACUGACAGCUCUCUCCAUGAGGCCUUCGGUGCUUACGGCGAUAUCCUUGAAUCGAAGGUCCGUUUGAACCAGAUCCGACCCGAUCCACGAUUCGGCUUGUUCUGAUCUGUGAUCUGUGUGCUCUGUGAUCUGUUUCUGUUACUCUGUUACUGUUCUCUGUUACUACUGUUACUCUAUUAUUACUAUGCCUAAAUCGGUACGUUCAUCUUCAUCUUUUUAUUAAGACGAAGGGCCCGAUCGGAUUUAUUAUUAUUUUUAUUGUUAUUAAGCUUGCAGAUCUGAGAUGAAUUUGCUAAACUAUUUUUUUUUUAUCGUUAAUUCAGAUAAUUAACGAUCGCGAGACUGGAAGAUCCAGAGGAUUUGGAUUCGUUACCUUCCGCGAUGAGAAGUCGAUGAGGGACGCGAUCGAAGGCAUGAACGGCCAGAAUCUCGACGGCCGUAACAUCACAGUCAACGAGGCCCAGUCCCGCGGAAGCGGUGGCGGUGGCGGUGGUGGUUACGGAAGCCGCGGCGGUGGCGGAUAUGGAGGUGGUGGACGCCGUGAAAGUGGUGGUGGUGGUGGAUACGGUGGGAGCCGCGGAUACGGAGGUGGCGGUGGUGGAGGAUAUGGUGGCCGCCGUGAAGGUGGUUACAGCCGUGAUGGUGGAUAUGGCGGUGAUGGUGGUUCCCGAUACUCAAGGAGCGGUGCUUCUGAUGGCGGCAGCUGGAGGAAUUAGUGUUGUUUAGGAUAAAUUAGGAGCUAUGUUAU
rnacentral:lncRNA from 1 species